UCCAUCUUGUAUUUAGCCGCUGGAUCCAGCGUUUCACUGUGGAGGCAGACACAGGAACAAUUCUUUUUUCUAUCUGAAUUAACCAAGGAGAGCCUCUAGACCAUAAACUCAUUACGGGCAGGAAACACGUCUGCCAAAUCUGUUAUGGUGUACCCCUCGAAGCGUUUCGCACAGCGUUCUGCACACGCACCACGAAGAGACAGAGCUUUAUUAGCAAACGAACUUCUUACCGACUGUAAAAGCCAUCGAUUUCCAUCAUGUUUGCUUCACCACCUGCUUUAAAAAGAAAAGUUGGGAGAUUCAAAACCGCUACUUAAAGGUCACAGACUACCAAAACAGCCCAAUGUGGGAAUGGAUCUGCGGAAGGGCGGGUCGGAAGGCGGUCCCGGCCCUGGAUGUUUUAAAGGAUGCCUCCGUGCGAGGCAUAUUUGGAAAAACGUAUCUGCCACAGGAGAAGCGGUUAGCAAGG